rnacentral:rRNA from 1 species
GUGAGUGGCGGACGGGUGAGUAACACGUGGGUAACCUGCCCUAAAGUGGGGGAUAACAUUUGGAAACAGAUGCUAAUACCGCAUAAAACCUAACACCGCAUGGUGUAGGGUUGAAAGAUGGUUUCGGCUAUCACUUUAGGAUGGACCCGCGGUGCAUUAGUUAGUUGGUGAGGUAAAGGCUCACCAAGACCGUGAUGCAUAGCCGACCUGAGAGGGUAAUCGGCCACACUGGGACUGAGACACGGCCCAGACUCCUACGGGAGGCAGCAGUAGGGAAUCUUCCACAAUGGACGAAAGUCUGAUGGAGCAACGCCGCGUGAGUGAAGAAGGUUUUCGGAUCGUAAAACUCUGUUGUUGGAGAAGAAUGUAUCUGAUAGUAACUGAUCAGGUAGUGACGGUAUCCAACCAGAAAGCCACGGCUAACUACGUGCCAGCAGCCGCGGUAAUACGUAGGUGGCAAGCGUUGUCC